rnacentral:rRNA from 1 species
UACGUAGGGGGCAAGCGUUGUCCGGAUUUAUUGGGCGUAAAGAGCGUGUAGGCGGCCUGACAAGUCUGCUGUGAAAACUCGAGGCUCAACCUCGAGAUGUCGGCGGAAACUGUCUGGCUAGAGUCCGGAAGAGGAGAGUGGAAUUCCUGGUGUAGCGGUGAAAUGCGCAGAUAUCAGGAAGAACACCCGUGGCGAAGGCGGCUCUCUGGGACGGUACUGACGCUGAGGAGCGAAAGCGUGGGGAGCAAACAGG